AGUGAACGCUGGCGGUAGGCCUAACACAUGCAAGUCGAACGGCAGCACAGUAGGAGCUUGCUCUUACGGGUGGCGAGUGGCGGACGGGUGAGGAAUACAUCGGAAUCUACUUUUUCGUGGGGGAUAACGUAGGGAAACUUACGCUAAUACCGCAUACGACCUACGGGUGAAAGCAGGGGAUCUUCGGACCUUGCGCGAUUGAAUGAGCCGAUGUCGGAUUAGCUAGUUGGCGGGGUAAAGGCCCACCAAGGCGACGAUCUGUAGCUGGUCUGAGAGGAUGAUCAGCCACACUGGAACUGAGACACGGUCCAGACUCCUACGGGAGGCAGCAGUGGGGAAUAUUGGACAAUGGGCGCAAGCCUGAUCCAGCCAUACCGCGUGGGUGAAGAAGGCCUUCGGGUUGUAAAGCCCUUUUGUUGGGAAGAAAAGCAGCAGGUUAAUACCCCGCUGUUCUGACGGUACCCAAAGAAUAAGCACCGGCUAACUUCGUG
rnacentral:rRNA from 1 species